GUCAUUUUUUCCUUAGAUGGGGACAGAGUGAGAAGCGGUGCACCGUUUAUCCGUAGGAUCAGUGGGCUAAAAUAUGUGUGUCUGCUCUCCUCUCCGACAGGCAGUAAUGAAUAAAAUAACAGUGGAAGAAGAUGAACUACUUCCUCUGUGAACUCAUCAGGCAGACAUUGGCAUGCACCACUGCCUCCAAGAUGGCUGCAUCUCUGCCCACUCCUCGUGAAUACUGCUACAGCUGACAGCGGGAAAGCACACCGCAGGGUAAAGUGCAGGAAAACGCUGAUACUGUGGAUUGUUGCAGAGAAGUCACAUUAGUCACACGCAGAGAGGUUUACUGGUCUCCAGGGGUCAACCACCAGCACUUCUUCAGGACAACUGCUGAUAUUCUGACACAGGACUUUUUCAGAUUUUGUUGGCAUUCAUGCCUACAGUAUGUCAAGAUAGUUUUUCUCUUCUCCUUGAUCCAGACAGAUUCCUUUUGAUUGAUGUUUCUCAUCAAUGGUUGUCUGAACUAACAGUAGUCCAUGGUUAACAAUAGUUUUCACCAACUGUUUCCAGCAGUGAAAAGUAACGCCAUUUUAACCGUUUGGAGGUUGGUUUUUUUUGCUUCUAUUUCUUUCUAUUUGUUCUAUCACAUCGUUGCUUAUGUUAGCAAGCCCAGGCCCAACCAGCUCAUUCCAACAGAGAGUUAAUGUAGCCUCCAGUCUGCCCUGAAGAAGUAGCACCGCUUAGAGGUUGUAUUACAAACUCUUGUCUUUUAAAAACAAUAAUGGCUAAAGCUUUUAGCGAAAAAACCGCAUUUGGCGAUGCAGAAAAUGGAGAAAAGUUAUAUAUAGAACCUUCACCGUGACCCUGCCGCAGCAAUAACAGCCACAAAAAAAGUAUGCAUUAUUGCGUCAGGAAUCUAACAGCAUGUGAUGCCACUGCAUUGUUUCACCAAAGUUAUGCAAUUUUGUAUUAAAGUUGAAAUGAAGUGAUCAUAAAGUCAGCGACUGAAGAUACUUCAGACUGCCGGGGAAUUUGUGUUUAUGUGCGUAUGGCUCCUAUUUUCUUUGUUAAUGUGAUUCAUUUAAUUAGCCUUAGAUAAUCAGACGACGCACACAGACUGGGUAACACAGCACACAUGCCCCAUUUCUGGUUCACUGGGUUUUCAUGUUUCCCGGCCUCCUUCGGUGUUCCGUAGUGUCACCACGGCUGGUCUCAGUGAAGCACAAAGUCCCCCAUGGGCGCUUCUGUACAGUAUAUCUGACCCAACCACGCACGUGGAGUAAGGGACAGUGGACGAGGCUGUCUAACACUGUAGAUAUCUUAUAGAGCCGAUGACCUUGGGAAAGGACUGACGGUGGUGUUUGGACACUGGCCAAUUGCCUCCGUCCCGGUGAUCACGGCGGAAAAAUCAG